rnacentral:lncRNA from 1 species
CCCUUCCCAUAAAUCACAGAAACUAUUAACUAAAUAAACAAAAAAGAAUUUAGUCACAACUUGUGGAACUAUUUCCUUAUUAAUUAUUGUGGCUCUCUACUCCCUACUAAAGCUAAUGUAUAAGUUCUUACUUAUACAAUCAGUCACUAGAAAAUUAGACACUGGCAUUGUCAUGUGCAACAAUAUUUUUGUGGUCUGUGAUUGGCUGCA